rnacentral:lncRNA from 1 species
UUAGCUCUGUCCUCGGCGUGCUCAUGAAUCACACUGGAGAGCCCUGUGUGGUCCUUCCACGGCUGACGCAUCAUGAGCCUGUUCAGGCAUUUUUCUCCGCUUCACUCUGCCAUCUGUGUGUGGGAUGACGAGGAAAGCCCAUGUGAAGCGACUGUCUCCUGCCUGUUUAUUGAGGGCUCCGGAGUGCUCUUCAAAACCAUCUUCCUGCCCUUUUCGGCAGACAGCAGCAUCUCAGGGAUGCCUUUGCCUCCCAGAGGGGCCGGAGGUGGGCAGGGAACAGAAACCUCAAAGAGUCCUGCAGCUCUCUCAGCGAGAAGCCGCCACAGCCCUUCUCGAGGCGUGCGCCCGAAAUGCACUUCUUCUAGCUGGAGGCCAAAGAGGCGAGGCACCGCGACUCACACCUGUAAUCCUAGCACUGUGGGAGGCCAAGGUGGGCGGAUCACCUGAGAUCAGAAGUUGGAAACCAGCCCGGCCAACAUGGUAAAACCCCAUCUCUAAUAGAAAUACAAAAAUUAGCCAGAAAUCACUUGAACCCAGAAAGCAGACAUCGCAGCGAGCCGAGAUUGUGCCACUGCACUCCAGCCUGAGCAACGGAG